AGCCAGUGUUCAAGCCUUAAUGUUUCUUGCUACAGAAUCUAUGCUCUCAACUUUCUACAGGAAUGUGUACGUAAACAGAAUCAUGUAUUUUGUGAUGUGAAUGUGUGACUCCAGCACUUGCCGUACAUUUACCAGUUCGCCUUUGUUAUUCCAUUGGGGCCAUUGAUUUGAACUGAGCUGCUGCACCAGGCCAACAGACCAAAAUGGAGUCACUCAUGCUGAAGUUCCACAUCACCAAACUGAAACUAAGUUGUCUAUCAGACCUUCUAAGAAGUCAGGAGACAGAGGGAGAUAAUAGCCAAGUCAUCAAACAGGCCAGUUUUAGCCAGCAUGAUUUUUAAAACAUCUCCUUUGUUUAUCUUUUACAAAAAAAGUAACUUUGAAAUGACCAACCGACUUUUUGUAUUCUGUUUCUGCUUUUCUCAGCCCUUUUCUGGCUUUAAAAGAAAACUCCUCUGCUCAGCUCAUCAGAACACUCAUUCUGUUUUAUGGAAUGAAAUGUUGCUUGAUCUGACGUUUGCAAAUAAA
rnacentral:lncRNA from 1 species